CGGGGGGGCGAAGCGUUGUUCGGAAUUACUGGGCGUAAAGGGCUCGUAGGUGGCCAACUAAGUCAGACGUGAAAUCCCCACGGCUCAACUUGGGAACUGCGUCUGAUACUGGAUGGCUUGAAUUCGGGAGAGGGAUGCAGAAUUCCAGGUGUAGCGGUGAAAUGCGUAGAUAUCUGGAGGAAUACCGGUGGCGAAGGCGGCAUCCUGGACCGAUAUUGACACUGAUGAGCGAAAGCUAGGGGAGCAAACGGGAUUAGAUACCCCGGUAGUCCUAGCCCUAAACGAUGAAUGCUUGGUGUGACGGGUAUCGAUCCCUGUCGUGCCGAAGCUAACGCAUUAAGCAUUCCGCCUGGGGAGUACGGUCGCAAGGCUG
rnacentral:rRNA from 1 species